rnacentral:rRNA from 1 species
UACGUAGGGUGCAAGCGUUGUCCGGAAUUAUUGGGCGUAAAGAGCUCGUAGGCGGUUUGUUGCGUCGGCUGUGAAAUCCCGAGGCUCAACCUCGGGUCUGCAGUCGAUACGAGCAAACUAGAGUGUUGCAGGGGAGACUGGAAUUCCUGGUGUAGCGGUGAAAUGCGCAGAUAUCAGGAGGAACACCGGUGGCGAAGGCGGCUCUCUGGGCCUUACCUGACGCUGAGGAGCGAAAGCGUGGGUAGCGAACAGG